rnacentral:rRNA from 2 species
UUGCCCUAGUAACGGCGAGUGAAGCGGCAACAGCUCAAAUUUGAAAUCUGGCCCUCGUGGUCCGAAUUGUAAUUUGUAGAGGAUGCUUUUGGUGCGGUGCCUUCCGAGUUCCCUGGAACGGGACGCCGGAGAGGGUGAGAGCCCCGUACGGUUGGACACCUAGCCUCUGUAUAGCUCCUUCAACGAGUCGAGUAGUUUGGGAAUGCUGCUCUAAAUGGGAGGUAAAUUUCUUCUAAAGCUAAAUACCGGCCAGAGACCGAUAGCGCACAAGUAGAGUGAUCGAAAGAUGAAAAGCACUUUGAAAAGAGGGUUAAAUAGCACGUGAAAUUGUUGAAAGGGAAGCGUUUGCGACCAGACCUUUUCCGGGCGGAUCAUCCGGCGUUCUCGCCGGUGCACUUCGCCCGGUUUAGGCCAGCAUCGGUUUUCUUAGGGGGAUAAAGGCUUGGGGAAUGUAGCUCUUUCGGGAGUGUUAUAGCCCCUUGCGUAAUACCCCUUGGGGGACCGAGGACCGCGCUCUGCAAGGAUGCUGGCGUAAUGGUCGUCAACGACCCGUCUUGAAACACGGACCAAGGAGUCGAACAUUUGUGCGAGUGUUUGGGUGUUAAACCCUCACGCGUAAUGAAAGUGAACGGAGGUGAGAGCCCUUACGGGUGCAUCAUCGACCGAUCCUGAUGUCUUCGGAUGGAUUUGAGUAAGAGCAUAACUGUUCGGACCCGAAAGAUGGUGAACUAUGCGUGGAUAGGGUGAAGCCAGAGGAAACUCUGGUGGAGGCUCGCAGCGGUUCUGACGUGCAAAUCGAUCGUCAAAUCUGCGCAUGGGGGCGAAAGACUAUCG